rnacentral:rRNA from 1 species
AUUGAACGCUGGCGGCAUGCCUUACACAUGCAAGUCGAACGGCAGCACGGGUGCUUGCACCUGGUGGCGAGUGGCGAACGGGUGAGUAAUACAUCGGAACAUGUCCUGUAGUUGGGGAUAGCCCGGCGAAAGCCGGAUUAAUACCGCAUACGAUCUACGGAUGACAGCGGGGGACCUUCGGGCCUCGCGCUAUAGGGUUGGCCGAUGGCUGAUUAGCUAGUUGGUGGGGUAAAGGCCUACCAAGGCGACGAUCAGUAGCUGGUCUGAGAGGACGACCAGCCACACUGGGACUGAGACACGGCCCAGACUCCUAAGGGAGGCAGCAGUGGGGAAUUUUGGACAAUGGGCGAAAGCCUGAUCCAGCAAAGCCGCGUGUGUGAAGAAGGCCUUCGGGUUGUAAAGCACUUUUGUCCGGAAAGAAAUCCUUGGCCCUAAUACGGUCGGGGGAUGACGGUACCGGAAGAAUAAGCACCGGCUAACUACGUG